rnacentral:lncRNA from 1 species
CUGAGAUUGUGUGCUAAACACUGUUCAAAAUCUGUCCAAAGGUCAAAGGAAAUCUACUAUGUCAGAAACAAAGAGAAAAAAAAAAUAUCAUUUCAGCCACCCUAACUAGUAAAAGUAGGCUACUAGUACCCUAUUUUGUGAUAAAAUAACAUAAGCUUCAGAUUUUAACAACAUCAAUAUCACCCUGUUGAUUCAAACUAAACCAAGUAUUAAAGCAUGUAAUUAAACUUCACACAUGUGUUACGAACCAAUCGUAAGCAAACAAAAAUUAACUAUUAAAGCCAAACAAAAUGCAAGUUAUCGCUGGAGCGAUUUAAUAAAACCAACUAGACAAACAUAAUAAAAAAUGGAUUACAUGAAGAAACAAGAUAGAAACUAACUUUAACUAAAAAAAAAUCAAAAAUUAAUAACGGGGCAGGAUUACGAUUUUACCAUACACUCUCAAGCAUUUCCUCACUACCUCACUUUAAUCAACACAAAGCUAUUUUACUACUUCAACAAGGGCAAAAACAGAAAAUUUAACAUUCCAAAACUUCAAAAAAUAAUGCUAAAAUAAUUAAUAAUAAAAAAUAAAAUCUGAAAAAUAAAAAUAAAAAUAAAAAAUUCAGCCAUGAAAAAGAAUAGGAUUUUACCAUUUUACAAUUCAAGUGGCCGAAAAAAUGGUGGUAUGCCAAAAGAAGGUGUUCGGGGAGGUCGCCGGAAUUUGGCCGGACUUUGAUCGCCGGAUUUUCAGGGUGAAAUUGGCAUCAAUAGCUAGGUCUUGAGUAGCUCUAUCCAUUAAUGUAGGUAUUGUGAGGUGGUAGUGGUUGGAGCUUCAAUAAUUUGGGCAAAAAGGUGACGGGAAAGUUUCCUAGAUCUAAGAUUCAUGGAGUUUGAGGGAUUUUUAAAGGAUUUGGUUUGGAGAUAUGGAAAGAGGAAGUUGUGGAGAUUACAUGGUGUGAAUUUGGAGGUGUUUGGAGGUGGUCUGCCGGCGGCGGUGGGGCGGCGGCAGCGGCUUGAGGGAGAGAGAAGAGAGAGUGAUGAAAGGGAAAGAAGAGAGAGGCAAUAAUAG